AGAGUUUGAUCCUGGCUCAGGAUGAACGCUAGCUACAGGCUUAACACAUGCAAGUCGAGGGGCAGCAUGGUCUUAGCUUGCUAAGGCCGAUGGCGACCGGCGCACGGGUGAGUAACGCGUAUCCAACCUGCCUUACACUCUUGGACAGCCUUCUGAAAGGGAGAUUAAUACAAGAUGUUAUCAUGAGUAAGCAUUUUCGCAUGAUUAAAGGUUUACCGGUGUAAGAUGGGGAUGCGUUCCAUUAGAUAGUGGGGCGGGGUAACGGCCACCUAGUCUUCGAUGGAUAGGGGUUCUGAGAGGAAGGUCCCCCACAUUGGAACUGAGACACGGUCCAAACUCCGUACGGGAGGCA
rnacentral:rRNA from 1 species